rnacentral:rRNA from 1 species
CAUGGCGGCCGCGGGAAUUCGAUUGGAAACAGGUGCUAAUACCGAAUAAAACUUAGUAUCGCAUGAUAUCAAGUUAAAAGGCGCUACGGCGUCACCUAGAGAUGGAUCCGCGGUGCAUUAGUUAGUUGGUGGGGUAAAGGCUUACCAAGACGAUGAUGCAUAGCCGAGUUGAGAGACUGAUCGGCCACAUUGGGACUGAGACACGGCCCAAACUCCUACGGGAGGCUGCAGUAGGGAAUCUUCCACAAUGGGCGCAAGCCUGAUGGAGCAACGCCGCGUGUGUGAUGAAGGCUUUCGGGUCGUAAAGCACUGUUGUAUGGGAAGAAAUGCUAAAAUAGGGAAUGAUUUUAGUUUGACGGUACCAUACCAGAAAGGGACGGCUAAAUACGUGCCAGCAGCCGCGGUAAUACGAUAAUCACUAGUGAAUUCGCGGCCGCCUGCAGGUCGACCAUAUG